CGCCCAAGACGACUCCAACUUGUAGCCUGGUAACCAGUAACCUAGAAUCAAACGCGGGAAAUAACGAGAUCUUGUAAAACACAAGGAAAGCUUACUUCGCUGUUUUGUCACAGCGUAUGGACGUCAACAGUUUCUCCUCAUAAUGAUAUCAAUGUCUGGAUUUCACGAAGCAACAAAGGAAAAAUCUAUUAAUAGAAAUCCGAGUUGGGUCAAAGUGAGGACGCAAAGUUAAACUAACGAGAGCCAGUGUCUCGAGAACAGUGUGGCGCCACACCGUGUAUUUCAGGAUGCAUUGUCCUGCUGGAAGAAGCCACUUUCAUAAGGGAAUACUAUUGCCAUGAAGGGGUGUACUUGGUCUGCAACAAUGUUUAGGUCUGUUCCUUCACUACCUGUGCUUUCCCUGGGACGACUGGAGUAAGCUGCCUCGCUACCAUGGAACACAGAUGCAGCACAGACAGUGGCCAGGCAGACCCCGUUUCCAUCGUCAGCUGUCUUGCUUGUGCGGCAGAAAUGUGAUGUAAUACAAGAUCAGAAACGGAGAGUGUGAACAUGCAUACACUGCUGCAGUACUGCAUAUUUCUUCAUUAACCCUCCAGCAGUAGUACCGUCACUUGUGAUUAUCCCACACAUGUAAACAUUCAUAAUAGAGGCAGACCCUGCAGUCCAUCCUUACAAACCCAAGGGCUUUAAAGUUCAUUCAAAGUCCAUCUAUUGCUUUUAACUGGUACAUAUAAAAGUCAUGGCAUGUUACUGUCUGACAGCUCAGAUAAAAAUUUAUAGCAGUUUUUUUACCCGUUGCCUCAAAGUGGAGAGACAAGAUAGUUAGACCGAAAAAUUUAAAAUUAAGAGACUUAAAGAAUAACAAUGACCUUUUAUAGUCAUUUUGUGCUACUAAAGAAACUGUUUUGCAACUUAAUACUAUUAUUAUAUUGUUCACUUUUUGGCAUAAAUGUAAUAAUAUAAUAAUUUGUAAAUAAUUUACAUUAGCUGAUUUACAAAUUUUACUUAUAUUUGAAAAAUAAACAAACUUAUUAUUGUAUGAAAAUCAUUUGUAACAUAGCAAAAUUAAUGACCAAUCCAAAUGUUAACCAGGCACUGCCUGGUGCUCUACACUGCACCAAAUGUCAGUAAUGAUAGAAGCUGCCCUCAUGUUGCUACUGAUGUAAUCACUCAUUCAAAUGUAAACAUGAGAAUAACUACAGGAGAACAAAGUGAUACAAUGCUUGCACUCAAGAUCAGGUUGGAAAUCAUUACAAAAAUGUAGAAAUAUUAAUAACAAGUGUGUAAAACUAGAAUUUUCGCAGUAAAAAAAAAACCCACACAAGAUGAAUUACCAAGCUACAUCUCAUGAAAUAAGCAAUUAAAAGUUUUGGUGUAAUGGGUAUGAUGCACAUUUAAUAGAAAUUACUUUAUUAUUUACUAUUAUGUACAAUUGAAAAUAAAUUCACAAUAGAAUCAUGGAGGCAAUAGUUGUUCAUAGUAUUACAUAGUGAAUUUUAUAAAACUCAUUUUUUUUAAACACUUUUUAAAAAUCUUUUAAUGCUGCAUCCCUACAGUGUUUAGGUAUUACUGACCAAAGUGAGUGUGAGAGGGCCAAGAUUGUAGUUGGCUGGAGGAGGUUUAAAAAAAAAAAAAAAA